UAUUUUUUAUAUAAAAAACCAAUGCCCUUCUCGGCUCCUUGGUGAAUCAUAAUAACUUAACGAAUCGCAUGGCCUUGCGCCCGCGAUGGUUCAUUCAAAUUUCUGCCCUAUCAACUUUCGAUGGUAGGAUAGUGGCCUACCAUGGCAUCGACGGGUAACGGGGAAUUAGGGUUCGACUCCGGAGAGGGAGACUGAGAAACAGCUACCACAUCCAAGGAAGGCGGCAGGAGCGCGAAUUACCCAAUCCCGACGCGGGGAGGUAGUGACAAUAAAUACUGAUACCGGGCUCUUUUGGGUCUUGUAAUUGGAAUGAGUACUAUUUACAUCCCUUAACCAGGAACAAUUGGAGGGCAAGUCUGGUGCCUGGAGCCGCGGUAAUUCCAGCUCCCAUAGCCUAUAUUAAAUUUGUUGCUUGUUAAAAGCUCGUAGUUGAACCUUGGGCCUGGCUGGCCAGUCCGCCUCUCCGCGUGUACUGCUCCUGCCGGGCCUUUCCUUCUGGGGAACCUCAUGCGCUUCACUGGGCGUGUUGGCGAACCACGACUUUUAGUCUGCAAGAAUUAUACUGUACAAAGCAAG
rnacentral:rRNA from 1 species